rnacentral:rRNA from 1 species
UACGUAGGUGGCAAGCGUUGUCCGGAAUUACUGGGUGUAAAGGGUGCGUAGGCGGGCGUUUAAGUCCGCGGUGAAAGUCUGCGGCUCAACCGUAGGAUUGCCGUGGAUACUGGACGUCUUGGAUUCGGUCGGGGCGGGCGGAAUGCGUGGUGUAGCGGCGAAAUGCAUAGAUAUCACGCAGAACGCCGAUAGCGAAGGCAGCUCGCCGGGCCGAAAUCGACGCUGAGGCACGAAAGCGUGGGGAUCAAACAGGAGUAGAUACCCUGGUAGUCCACGCCGUAAACGAUGAUGGCUGGGUGUUGGCGAUACAUAGUCAGCGCCUGAGGGAAACCAGUAAGCCAUCCACCUGGGGAGUACGGCCGCAAGGCUGAA